rnacentral:rRNA from 1 species
UACGAAGGGGGCUAGCGUUGCUCGGAAUUACUGGGCGUAAAGCGCACGUAGGCGGCUUUCUAAGUCGGGGGUGAAAUCCUGGAGCUCAACUCCAGAACUGCCUUCGAUACUGGAAAGCUCGAGUCCGGGAGAGGUGAGUGGAACUGCGAGUGUAGAGGUGAAAUUCGUAGAUAUUCGCAAGAACACCAGUGGCGAAGGCGACUGACUGGACAAGUAUUGACGCUGAGGUGCGAAAGCGUGGGGAGCAAACAGG